GGCGGUGCGCCUUAUGCGUGCAAGUCGAGCGAAGCUUUUCUGUAGUUUACUACAGAAAAUGACUGAGCGGCGAACGGGUGAGUAACGCGUGAGCAAUCUACCUUAGUUACAGGGAUAGCCCGAGGAAACUCGGAUUAAUACCUGAUAUUCUUUUUUUCUCGCAUGAGUUUUAAAGGAAAGGUCAGCCGAACUAAGAUGAGCUCGCGUUCUAUCAGCUAGUUGGUGAGGUAAUAGCUCACCAAGGCAACGACGGAUAGCUGGUCUGAGAGGACGAUCAGCCACACUGGGACUGAGACACGGCCCAGACUCCUACGGGAGGCUGCAGCAGGGAAUAUUGUGCAAUGAGCGAAAGCUUGACACAGCGACACCGCGUGUGGGAUGACGGAUCUAGGUUUGUAAACCACUUUCAGGAGGGAAGAAAAUGACGGUACCUCCAUAAGAAGCCCCGGCCAACUACGUGCCAGCAGCCGCGGUAAUACGUAGGGGGCGAGCGUUGUCCGGAUUUAUUGGGCGUAAAGAGCUCGUAGGCGGUUCAACAAGUCGGUCGUGAAAGUUCAGGGCUCAACCCUGAAAUGUCGAUCGAUACUGUUGUGACUAGGAUACGGUAGAGGUGAGUGGAAUUCCGAGUGUAGCGGUGAAAUGCGUAGAUAUUCGGAGGAACACCAAUUGCGAAGGCAGCUCACUGGGCCGCUAUCGACGCUGAGGAGCGAAAGCUAGGGGAGCAAACAGGAUUAGAUACCCUGGUAGUCCUAGCUGUAAACGAUGGAUACUAGACGUAGGAACUGGAUUGACGGUUUCUGUGUCGUAGCUAACGCGUUAAGUAUCCCGCCUGGGGAGUACGGUCGCAAGACUAAAACUCAAAGGAAUUGACGGGACCCCGCACAAGCGGCGGAGCAUGCGGCUUAAUUCGAUGAUACCCGUAGAACUUUACCUGGACUUGACAUAUAGGGUCU
rnacentral:rRNA from 1 species